UACGGAGGGUGCGAGCGUUGUCCGGCAUCACUGGGCGUAAAGGGCGCGUAGGCGGCUCAUGAAGGCUGUGGUGAAAGUCCGGGGCUCAACCUCGGAUCGGCCGUGGCGACUCGUGGGCUGGAGCACUGUAGAGGCGGGUGGAAUUCCGGGUGUAGCGGUGGAAUGCGUAGAGAUCCGGAAGAACACCAGUGGCGAAGGCGGCCCGCUGGGCAGUGGCUGACGCUGAAGCGCGACAGCGUGGGGAGCAAACAGG
rnacentral:rRNA from 1 species